AACGAACGCUGGCGGCAGGCCUAACACAUGCAAGUCGAACGCACCGCAAGGUGAGUGGCGCACGGGUGAGUAACACGUGGGAAUGUACCCUUUGGUUCGGAAUAACGUUUGGAAACGAACGCUAAUACCGGAUGAGCCCUGCGGGGGAAAGAUUUAUCGCCAAAGGAGCAGCCCGCGUCUGAUUAGCUAGUUGGUGGGGUAAAGGCCUACCAAGGCGACGAUCAGUAGCUGGUCUGAGAGGAUGAUCAGCCACACUGGGACUGAGACACGGCCCAGACUCCUACGGGAGGCAGCAGUGGGGAAUAUUGGACAAUGGGCGAAAGCCUGAUCCAGCAAUGCCGCGUGAGUGAUGAAGGCCUUAGGGUUGUAAAGCUCUUUUACCCGGGAUGAUAAUGACAGUACCGGGAGAAUAAGCCCGGCUGACUCCGUGCCAGCAGCCGC
rnacentral:rRNA from 1 species